rnacentral:rRNA from 1 species
GACAGAGGUGCCAAGCGUUAGGCGGAAUCACUGGGCUUAAAGCGUGUGUAGGCGGACUUGUAAGUACCUUGUGAAAUCCCACGGCUCACCCGUGGAACUGCUGGGUAUACUGCGAGUCUUGAGCCACUUAGGGCUGUCGGAACAGGCGGUGGAGCGGUGAAAUGCGUAGAUAUCGCCUGGAACGCCAAAGGUGAAAACAGACAGCUGGGAGUGUGCUGACGCUGAGACACGAAAGCCAGGGGAGCGAACAGG